rnacentral:rRNA from 1 species
UGGGGAAUAUUGCGCAAUGCACGAAAGUGUGACGCAGCGACGCCUCGUGAACGACGAAGUCCUUCGGGAUGUAAAGUUCUGUUAGCAGGGAAGAUAAUGACGGUACCUGCAGAGGAAGCACCGGCAAACUGCGUGCCAGCAGCCGCGGUAAUACGUAGGGUGCAAGCGUUAUCCGGAUUUACUGGGCGUAAAGAGUAUGUAGGCUGCUGACUAAGUCAGGUGUUAAAGACAAUGGCUUAACCAUUGUUCGCACCUGAAACUGAUUAGCUAGAGUUCAGGAGAGGAAAGCGGAACGCAUAGUGUAGCGGUGAAAUGCGUAGAUAUUAUGCGGAACACCAGUGGCGAAGGCGACUUUCUGGACUGAUACUGACGCUGAGAUACGAAAGCGUGGGGAGCAAACAGGAUUAGAUACCCUGGUAGUCCACGCUGUAAACGAUGUUCAUUAGGUGUAGGAGGCAUUGACCCCUUCUGUGCCGCAGCUAACGCGUUAAAUGAACCGCCUGGGGAGUACGGCCGCAAGGCUA